UAAGUACUCCCUCCGUCCCAAAAUUCUUGUCUUCGAUUUGUCUAGAUACGGAUGUAUCAAGUCACAUUUUAGUAUUAGAUACAUCCGUAUCUAGACAAAUCUAAGACAAGAAAUUUGGGACAGAGGGAGUAGUCG
rnacentral:pre_miRNA from 1 species